AACGAACGCUGGCGGCAGGCCUAACACAUGCAAGUCGAGCGAGGACCUCGGUCCUAGCGGCGGACGGGUGAGUAACGCGUGGGAACGUGCCCCUUGGUACGGAAUAGCCCCGGGAAACUGGGAGUAAUACCGUAUGAGCUCUACGGAGGAAAGAUUUAUCGCCAAGGGAUCGGCCCGCGUUGGAUUAGGUAGUUGGUGGGGUAAUGGCCUACCAAGCCGACGAUCCAUAGCUGGUUUGAGAGGAUGAUCAGCCACACUGGGACUGAGACACGGCCCAGACGCCUACGGGAGGCAGCAGUGGGGAAGCUUAGACAAUGGGCGCAAGCCUGAUCUAGCCAUGCCGCGUGAGCGAUGAAGGCCUUAGGGUUGUAAAGCUCUUUCAGCGAGGAAGAUAAUGACUGUACUCGCAGAAGAAGCCCCGGCUAACUCCGUGCCAGCCGCCGCCGUAACAC
rnacentral:rRNA from 1 species